rnacentral:rRNA from 1 species
AUGGCGGCUGAGGAGCUCCCUGUUCAGAUCGCGAUGGCCGCCGAGGAGCUCCCUGUUCCUGACUCGCCGCCUUCCACCCGUUCCACCGACAGCUGUCUGCGGGCGCUUGCACGGGAAGAUUACUAUGUAAUACUGAUUCCCCAUUCCCACAUCUUUGCCCUCAUGCUGCAAGCUCUCAAGUUGCCCCCUGCGAUUUACCAUCACAAGACAUAUCCGGGCAACGAGUCUCGUGUGACGGUUACUUUUAAUUCGUCGUUACAGUUGUUCGAUGGUUUGCUUGUCCCAACCUCGAUAGCUGGUGUGGUCUCAAACAACUAUGAUGAAGCAGAAGACAGUGCUGCUAUCGCAGCCAUUAGGUUUAUGGAGGAGGCAUGUGGCAAAGAAAUCAGGGACUAUCACUACACCCACGUAAAGAAGCUGGAAAAUCAAGUGACACACCUGGUCAAGUUGCUGGUUGCAGCAAACAAGACAAUAAAGAAGGUCCGCAAAUGA